AUUGAACGCUGGCGGCAGGCCUAACACAUGCAAGUCGAGCGGAUGAGGGAAGCUUGCUUCCCGAUUUAGCGGCGGACGGGUGAGUAAUGCCUAGGAAUCUGCCUAUUAGUGGGGGAUAACGUUCCGAAAGGAACGCUAAUACCGCAUACGUCCUACGGGAGAAAGUGGGGGAUCGUCGGACCUCACGCUAAUAGCUGAGCCUGGGUCGGAUUAGCUAGUUGGUGAGGUAACGGCUCACCAAGGCGACGAUCCGUAGCUGGUCUGAGAGGGUGAGCAGGCACACUGGAACUGAGACACGGUCCAAACUCCUACGGGAGGCAGCAGUGGGGAAUAUUGGACAAUGGGCGAAAGCCUGAUCCAGCCAUGCCGCGUGUGUGAAGAAGGUCUUCGGAUUGUAAAGCACUUUAAGUUGGGAGGAAGAGUUGUAAGCUAAUAUCUUGCAGCUUUGACGUUACCAACAGAAUAAGCACCGGCUAACUCUGUGCCAGCAGCCGCAGUAACAC
rnacentral:rRNA from 1 species